rnacentral:rRNA from 1 species
UACGUAGGGGGCUAGCGUUGUCCGGAUUUAUUGGGCGUAAAGAGCGUGUAGGCGGCCAGGUAGGUCUGGUGUGAAAACCCGAGGCUUAACCUCGAGAUGUCAUCGGAAACCAUUUGGCUAGAGUCCGGAAGAGGAAAGUGGAAUUCCUGGUGUAGCGGUGAAAUGCGCAGAUAUCAGGAAGAACACCAAUGGCGAAAGCAGCUUUCUGGGACGGUACUGACGCUGAGGAGCGAAAGCGUGGGGAGCGAACAGG